UGUAGAAGCCAUAAUAGCCCUUGCAUGAGUAAAUUAGGCAUUUUCUUCAAACAUUACCCUUAUAAUUUAAGAAAUUCCUAUAUGUACAAAAACGUGCAACAUGCGCCAAAUCCAUCUACUUGUUUGAGCUAAGAUCCUUUUUUUACAAAGAGAGUACAUGGCAAAUUGUAGAUGUUUAUUGCAUAGUUGCUUACUGACUGUGAUUCUGCCUUACCUGUGUUUUUAAAGAGCAGAUUCAUUGCUACAGUAUGAAAAUGGUACCUCACUUCUCUAAGGUGGUUCUGUACCUUUAGAAUUUGAAAUAUUUAUAAAAUCUGAUGCCUGAGGUUUAUACAUUGACAUAAUCCCAACCUUUUGUUCUUGUUCUUUGGUUUUAAAGGUCAGACUGUUGUAUAAUGUUUUUGUUCAGGGGAUGCAUAUUUUUAGGGUGAAGAAAAAUACACCUUCAAACGUACAAAGCUAUACUAAAAUCUAGGACCCACAUUCUCUUAUGACUAAACUACUGUAUCUUCACUGAAGUAAAAAGAGGUGCUCCAGAUUGUCAGAAGUGUGAAAAGAGAACAGGGAUCCUUCCCUAACAUGCAUCACUGUGAAUUUUAACACCAUACAUAUGUCUAAAAUCCAAAGAAAUUCGUAUCUAUAUUUGGCUUUGGAAGCACAUGAAAUUUGAGUGAGCAGUUUUCUCAAGCAAGAAUUAAAAAUAGCAGAUAGAGGUAUCUAAUGCAGAGCAAAAUGAAAUAAAAAUGGCAUAUGAAUCAGUGAGCAAUUCACACUAUGACCUUGUUUAUUGGUUCAUGAAUAGUUUAUGUUCUCUCAAUCUUUAUAUUAAGCAGAAUUAUUCCUGAUUUUAAGACAGUACCUGCAUUGAAAACAGCAUAUUCCCUGUUCAUUGGCAGGUCUCCUUUGGGUCAAGUUUUUUCCUAUUGUGUUUAUCAAAUAAAUUCACAUUUGAUACUAUAGAAUGAGCUAAGGUAAUCCACUGUAGCAGUAUAAAUGUUAUACCUCACCAGCUGUUUUUGGCUUCAACUCUGAAGGUCAUUAUUGGUACAAUAUGAAGAGAAGUGUAAUGAGGUGUAUUUACUUAGGAAAUGCCUAGAGCAGAGUCACAGCAAGCCAGGAAGAGAGGAACAUUUCCAAGGUCUAGUCUAAUUGAUUGGAAGUUAUCAACUGUCCCACACAAAGGGAGAGCUCAUGAACAUUUCACAGAGUAGAAAUACUCAUUGAGAUCUUUAAUGAAAAGCAGAAGAAAGUCUGUGUUUCAAAGGAAAUGAAAGUCAAUGGGUCUGUCAUAUCCAAAGUUUCCUACUUUCCAUCUUUUUCCAUGCCUAAGACUGUGAUGCCUGUAUUUUGGGUUUGGGCCCAUUCCACUUAUGAUCUUGCUGAACCUUUCUUUUUUCAUCUGAGAUGCAACAAAGGACAACCAUACACUACUGAGAAGAACAUGAUUCUCUCCAGCUCCCUUUUCCUUGUGCCUGUAAUAUAUGCUUGAAAGAUAUGACAUUGUUCUCAGGAAAGAUCUAUUUUCUAUAUGCAUUAGCUAAUCCCAUUAAAAACUCCAUGGAGUAUUUUUCAUUUAGGCACACAGAAGAGCAAUUUUUCAUUGUUUGGAGAACUCCAUCUGUAUUGUUUUAUUAAACAGAAUGAAAAGGAACAAUCAAGCUCGAUCAAAGCACUUUCAACAAAAGAUCUCACAUGUACAGCACCACAGACUAAUCCCCCCUUAUGUCAGUCACUGACUCCCUACAGGAACACUGAUUUCACAGCAAGAAUAGAGUGGUGAACUCUCAAUGUCCUUUCUAUCCCAAAUUACUGUAUGAUUCUAAAAUCACAUUUUGGUUUUCUUUGGUCCAGGUUAUGAUGCUUAAAACUGAAGUUUGGACGUCUCUGUUACUGCAGGAAAAGAUUAUAACCUUAAGAAUAAUUUCCUUAAAUGAAUCUAGUAACUCGCAUGCUCAGGAAUCACUGACUUCCCACGUACACAACCCCCAUGAUGGAUCUGCUACACUCCAAAUCAUGUGAGUGACAACAGGUUUGACAGCCUUUGGGGCGGUGAAGGAUCUGGCGAGAGCAAGCCUCCCCAGCAUGCUCAUUAGCCCUAAGCAAUCGUGUCUGUAAUCAUGCUACUGAAAUGAGGAAGUCCUGAAAGACCAGCAGACUGAGAGAUGACUGAGAAGUUGGAGCCAUGGCUAUUUGUCUAGGACUUGGUGUCAUGAAUUUCCUUUGGUUCACGGACUCUGUGGGCUCCAAGGAGGGUAAAAAAUUCUGACCUGCAGCCUGAGGUCAAAGUAUAAACCUCUUCCUGAAGAGUUCAACUUUCCAUAGAGCUGCUGGACUAGAAUGUAUUAAUGUGAUGUUCAAUUUACCCUCAUUUUCCUUACAUGAAGGGAAAUGUGGACAUUCAGUAAAGGUGCCAAUCAGCUGUGCUUGACAUGACUGGACUAGGUCAGGAAGUUGCAAGUCUUGUUAAGUGCCUUCAGUGCAGAAGCAAUUAGAACCUGAUAGCCUUUUAUUUCUCUUGUCACUUUCAGGUAUUUUUAAAUAUAAUAUGACAGAAACAAAUGCAAUGGGGUGAUUUUUAUUCUACCUAGCUCAUCUAGCAUUGCUGUCAAGUUAAGUUAUAAUUUUGAGAGGAAAUCACCAAAUAACAUAUUUAAUGGUUUUGCUAUGAUAAAUCACAUCAUCAUUAUUCAGAUAGAAAAUCUAAAAUAAUAAUACUAUCUUCUCGAUUUUUUUCUAUUAAUUCUGCUAUAUAUCAAUGGGAAGAGAAAUGACAGCUGAUAUAUAUCCAGUACAUAUAAAUGUGUUUGUAUGUAGCUGCUCCAUAUUCCAUUUAAAGGUAAAGCAGCUUCUGUGCAUUCUAUUGCAUGUUCUUAUAGCUGUAAAUGGGCAUGUGAAAGCAAACACAGUUGCAUAUCAACAGCUUAGGCCAUCAGUCUGCACUGACCCUUUGAGGUCAAUGAAAACAAUGAGUUCCAUGGGCUUUUCAGUUAGAUUCUGAGUAUAUGUACCUCUUCAGCACAGAUGUUUAUUUCAACUGCAGAAGGAAACAAAAGUAUUGACAGGUAACCAUAUCAUCCUUAAAGCAUGAGAACUUUGCUUUCACAUAUGAACCAAAAUUUGCUUGGUUUGUUUCAGAAGGCUUUUACACAGCUUCACUUUAGUUGCAGUAAAAUAGAAACAAAAAUUUACUUUAAACUUUUUUGUGUCCUUGCACAAUCUCAAAAAAGAAUUUGGUGGCUCAUGAAUGUCUUCAAUUAAGUAAAAAUGCAUUUAAUUUGUGUAAGUCAAUAAUUUGAAACAAUCAUGCUUAGAAAUUUAAAUUAACAUAAUGAGCAGAAAAAAAUGUCUCUUCUAAUCUUUAUAUUGUUUUAGGUUGAACAUAUUUCAUUGUUGACUUUUGAAUUUGUUACUGGUUGAAGUUUAAAUUGCAACAAUGAAGGAAUAUUUCUUUCAGGUUUAAUUUUCUCCUUGUUUAAUAUAGCUGUCAAGUCAUGAGAAAAAGUCAGAUCAUGCAAAUAACGUUUUUAAACAGAAAAAUAUUUUAUAACAUGGAUAAACUUCAUUUGUCUCAGCUUUAAAAAGGAAUAGAUUAUUUAGAAUUCACAAAUCCAUGAGCAAUAGAUUUUGUAUCUGAUUUGCUUCUUUUGUAAAGGCAAGCUGAAGCAAACUAUUUCCUGCUGGUGUUCACAAUAAGCAUAUCUCCUGGUUUCCCAGAAUGAUUCUCUUGAAAGAGCUAAAAAUUGUCCAGGUAAAAGAAACCUUGAGAGGAUCAUAUUUGGUUGAAAUUAAUGAUUCUUCCAAAAUUACAUUUCUUAUAUAUGGGAUGCAAUUUGCAAAAUUUCAUUUGAGGUAGAAAAACCAUCACCAUAAUGCUAAAAUAUCUCAUUUUACCAUUUCCAUAACAAUUAAGUUUUGCGGUUGAUUUUGCUACUCACAUUUUCUAUUUCUAUUGUAGUUUUUUUCCCCCACUCUGUAAAUUACACUACUUUAAAAGUUUAACCAGACACAGGAAUUUUCCCUUCCUUAUGUCACCUUGUUAAAACUUACCUUCCUGGAGGGUUUGGAGUCUUGAAGAUUUGUUAUGCAUUGACUUUUUUUUUUUUCCAAAAAUGGAGCUUCCAGCCUCUCCACAGCUCUAAGAGUUGAUUUUCUAAUGCCUCUUUAUAGUUUGAUUCAGAUUUCAUGUAAAAGAGUGAUAAUUCUGCGAGGGGAUCUCUCAAAGUGUCCAAAGCUUGGUGCACCUGCAGUAGAGGUGCACAGACCAACUGAGGAGGUUGUAUGUAUCCAUCUCAGGCAAUUCAGGACAGAGCUGGAUGUCCAAACUGAGAAGCUUGCCUGGUUCUGCUGGUUAUUUUUAAAGUAAAACAUGACAUCUGAGCACCUCAGUGUAAAACAUGAAAUCUGCCCACCUCAGUGUAAGGAAAGUGAGGUUGGACCAGAUGACCCCACCAUGGUCCCUCCCAACCUUACCCUUUCAGUGAUUCAGAGAGAACAUCAAACUGAUUUUCUCUUCAGGAGGAUGCUCAGGGCUGGAGGUGAGACAUGGCAGGCCACUGGGACAUAGGUGUGAGUGACAUUUCUGACACGUUCCUCACCACAGAGGCUCCCUCUUGGCUAAUUAUUGUCUAUUGAUUGCCGAGCUGGGUGGUUCCAGCCCCCUGAUUGCCUUUAGUGUGCUGCUGUGGGGGCUCUGGCUGUCUGAAUGCUCCCUGCAAGGGAGCCUGAGCACCCAUUUUUUAAAAUCACCUAAAUCCUUUGUAGACACAGGACUUUGGUAAAAAUAAAACUCCAGCUGAAUGAGAGGACAUUUAUGAGUAUCAAAAAUGAAGUUAUUUAGCAAAGAUAAUCUCCUGUUCAGAUACCACAGCACACUAUUUCAUAGUGAAACUUUUGAAUUUUAAUUACUUGACAAAUCUGAAAAAAAAAUUUUCUGGAUUGAUUGUCAGUUUUCUGUAUUUAUAGUUUCAAUUAACUUCACUGCUUAUAAACCACUGUUUAUGUUAAAUAUUUUUUAAAGCUAUUAAAUUUUUAU